AAAUGAAUAGACGGGGACCCGCACAAGCGGUGGAGCAUGUUCUUUAAUUCGAUGAUAAACGAUGAACCUUACCAGGGCUUGACAUCCAAGGAAGCACUACGAAAGUAGAGUGUGCCUUUUAGGAGCCUUGUGACAGGUGAUGCAUGGCCGUCGUCAGCUCGUGUCGUGAGAUGUUUGGUUAAGUCCAUCAACGAGCGCAACCCUUGCAACUAGUUGUAUUUUUCUAGUUGGACUGCCUCGGUAACGAGGAGGAAGGAGGGGAUGAUGUCAGGUCAUUAUUUCCCUUACGCCCUGGGCUAGAAACGUGCUACAAUGGCCGGUACAAUGUGCAGCUAAAUCGCGAGAUCAAGCAAAUCACAUCAAAACCGGUCCCAGUUCAGAUUAGAGGCUGAAACUCGCCUCUAUGAAGUCGGAAUCGCUAGUAAUCGCAGAUCAGCAAGUUGCGGUGAAUACGUUCCCGGGUCUUGUACACACCGCCCGU
rnacentral:rRNA from 1 species